rnacentral:rRNA from 1 species
CAGCAGCCACGGUAAUACGUAGGUGGCAAGCGUUGUCCGGAAUUAUUGGGCGUAAAACGCGCGCAGGCGGAUCAGUUAGUCUGUCUUAAAAGUUCGGGGCUUAACCCCGCGAGGGGAUGGAAACUGCUGAUCUAGAGUAUCGGAGAGGAAAGUGGAAUUCCUAGUGUAGCGGUGAAAUGCGUAGAUAUUAGGAAGAACACCAGUGGCGAAGGCGACUUUCUGGACGAAAACUGACGCUGAGGCGUGAAAGCCAGGGGAGCGAACGGGAUUAGAUACCCGUGUAGUCCCUGUCUCUAUACAC